rnacentral:miRNA from 1 species
UCUAUUCAAAGAGAUGACUGUU